CUCCCACCCGUGUUUAUUUUACCUUGUUGCUUCGGCGGGCCCGCCUUAACUGGCCGCCGGGGGGCUUACGCCCCCGGGCCCGCGCCCGCCGAAGACACCCUCGAACUCUGUCUGAAGAUUGUAGUCUGAGUGAAAAUAUAAAUUAUUUAAAACUUUCAACAACGGAUCUCUUGGUUCCGGCAUCGAUGAAGAACGCAGCGAAAUGCGAUACGUAAUGUGAAUUGCAAAUUCAGUGAAUCAUCGAGUCUUUGAACGCACAUUGCGCCCCCUGGUAUUCCGGGGGGCAUGCCUGUCCGAGCGUCAUUGCUGCCCUCAAGCACGGCUUGUGUGUUGGGCCCCGUCCUCCGAUCCCGGGGGACGGGCCCGAAAGGCAGCGGCGGCACCGCGUCCGGUCCUCGAGCGUAUGGGGCUUUGUCACCCGCUCUGUAGGCCCGGCCGGCGCUUGCCGAUCAACCCAAAUUUUUAUCCAGGUUGACCUCGGAUCAGGUAGGGAUACCCGCUGAACUUAAGCAUAUCAAUAAGCGGAGGA
rnacentral:rRNA from 1 species